ACCUGGGUGGCUCAGUCUUUUGAGCAUCUGACUUUGGCUCAGGUCGUGAUCUCAGGGUCAUGGGUUCAAGCCCCAUGUCGGGCU
rnacentral:tRNA from 1 species